GCAUCUGGCAAAAGCUGCCCAUGAUAAUUUGAAUGUACAAAACAUUGAUUACAACUCAUGAUUAGUGACACAAAGAAGACAAGCAGUAAUGUCUUACGCCUUUGAAUAUCCAAAUCAUUAUAAAAGCACAUCUGUAUCUCAUUAACAUGAUAAUUAAUUAACAAAUAAAUGCAAAAUCAUGGACAAAACACAAGAAAAUUGAGCAUAUUUUUGUUAGAUCUAUUAAAAAUGGUUUGAACUGUGUGACUCUAGUCAUGUUUUAGUUCAGAUACACAUGGCAAGGAAUCCAUUUUCUCACUAACCCAGAAAAGAAUUAACUCGUAUGAAUAUUCUUUCUUUUGCUUAUCUAACACAAGCAGGCUUUCAAUUAUUCAACUCCAAAUACCAAUUUUUCAGAAAAUUAUG
rnacentral:misc_RNA from 1 species